rnacentral:misc_RNA from 1 species
UCUCCGUUGGUGAACCAGCGGAGGGAUCAUUACCGAGUUAAAAACCUCCAAACCCAAUGUGAACCAUACCAAAAUGUUGCCUCGGUGGGGUCACGCCCCGGGCGCGCCGCAGCCCCGGAACCAGGCGCCCGGCGGAGGGGCCAACCAAACUCCUUUUGUAAUCCCCUUGCGGAUGGUAUUUUUACUCUCCUUAUCAAAAAUUCAAAAAGUAACACAACUUUUAACAAUGGAACUCCUGUGUCCGGCAACGAUGAAGAACGAAGCAGAACGCAUGUGAAC